UGAUUCAAGACUAAUGGACUAGUAAAAGCACUUACAUUUUUUAUUAACAUACCUUUUAUGUCCCUUUUGAAAGAAAGGGAAAGAACUGAACGAAGAUUAAUGCUUCAAAAUAGUGUACUAACAUGCCCACAGAAGGGGGUGACUGUUGGAUGAGCAGUCUGUGUAUUUGCUUUAUAUAAAUAUCAUCUUAGAGCAUGUUUGAUCAAGGGAG
rnacentral:lncRNA from 1 species